UGCGGCAUAUAUUGUAGCCUCGCGAGUUCGUCAGCGCACAAUGCGACGCGUCUUACAGCGGCCGAUACGUUUUUCCUAUCAAAUCCGAGCAUAAUUGUACAAAGAAAUGUUCGCCGUUUAUCGCUGUCGCUCUCUCGCUUUCGCGCGGGGCCUCGCGAAGCUACGACACGGUGCCAUCGGCCAUUUUGCCGCCCGAAGAAACUAAUGGCCAUCUCUGACAUCAACAUACACGCGAAUUCCUUCAGGAGCGCGUUUCGUCAAAACAACAGCGCAGUUUCGUCGAUGCGUUACGGCACGUAGCGCGUGUUUACAUCGUGACGCACAGCGGCAACGGCGACAACGUGCCGACGAUUCGUUCGUCAGUCACGCAACGUGCAGCAACGUCACUGUAGAAUGCACUUGUGUAACUGUCGCGUGUGUGACGUCUAACCUAUGACUCUCCGUUCGAGAACACGUAGGAGUAGUGGAUCACGAGUGGAAUAGAGUCGCGUUAUUUCGAUCUACGCCGUGGAGAAACGCGAUCGCAGCGAUGAUCGAUGAGUUCGACGGAUAAUAUUGUCGGGAAGUGAUUGCAGAUCUCGCAGAUCAUUAUUCGUCGAGUUCUCGCCGGCUGCACGGGGAUCGCUUCCUAUUUACAAACCGAGGGAGAAUUCACUCGUGUACAUCGGCGACGCACGACAACGCGCUCGAAACUGCGCGAAGAACUGUACAAACGUCUACUCCGAGCAAUUGAACGAUAAUCAACGAAUUGUACAAUAAAAUAUUUGUCGCUUCUUCCUAGUUUAGCAUACUGGGACAUCGUUUGCGUUGCGUGAGAGAUUUCAUUGAGAAAUUAAGGCUUCUGCGACGCACUUUGAUGAUUUUGACCAAAAUUUCAUUUGUAUUUAAGCAAUAAUAGCGUGGCCAUCGCGGAAAGAAUACUCCACUCCAUGCACCAGUGGUAGCUGAAAUAUUUUUGUAAGAUUAUAAGCCUGUGAAGAGCGCAGGACCAGCACAGAUUACAAAUAAUAGUAUUAUUCUUAAGGCGUCACGUGGAGAAUUGGCUGUACAGAUUAUUGUGCGGCGUACACAAAGGAGAAUACUUUUUAUAUAAAGUGUCAGUCAACUUUGCGUGGAAAAAUCACACGCUGUAUCGAGUGCCACGCAUAGGGAAAAGCUUCAAGAACAAUCAGCUUAGUGCCAUGAAUAUUUCUGCCUGCUGAAAUUAAUAUUAUUGUAUCUGCGAUAUGAAAGGUACCGAGGACGAAGUCUGACUGAGGGUAUCCUGGAUGUUCAGAUAGUAGUCUCUAUCAUUUGAUAAAUAUGGAUGAGAGAAGGGUAGCGGAUUAUUUUGUUAUCGCCGGUUUACCCGGGCAAGAUGACGAUCACAGUCAAGACAGCGAGACUAAUGACAAACUGGAGGACUGGUGCCAGGAAGGCACUCAUCUGAAGGACAUGCAUAUGCCACCUCCGAUCACGGAUCUUGCUGUAAUAUUCCCUGCAUUGGGAGAACACUGUCCGGAGGGAUACACACUGUUGGAUCAAACCGUAAUGGGUUUCCCCGCGGACUUGAAUCAUGGGAGCUUACGAACAAACGAGUGUUACUUAUGUUAUAGAAGAGGACGAGAUAAGCCUCCUUUAGUCGAUAUCGGUGUAAUAUAUGACGGGAAAGAACGUAUAAUGCAGGAUGCUGAAAUAGUAUUAGAAACCCCUAAAGGCCAUGUGGCGAAUGUAAAUAAUUCUACUUCAAAAAUUUUUGUAACAUAUAGACGAGCAAGUCGGAAGAUGCCUUGCAAUUCUCUUGUCGUUACCGACAUAUGUGUUAUCUUAACGAAUAAAGGGGAGAGCCCGCCCCACGCAUUCUGCGUUAUCAAUAAGAAUUUAAACAAAGGAAUGCUAGGCAGCGAUGUAUUUUUGUGCUACAAGAAGUCUAUGAAUCGCGCGAAUCUGAUAUCAUUCAAACCGGCAAUACUCUACAAAUAUCCCAUGGCUGAUUACAGCAGUUUUGUCUUUCCAAACUCCGUCGCCAUGUUUUGUUUACCGAUGGGCGCAACUAUAGAAUGCUGGCCUAAAGUAGCGUGUAAACCUAAACCAGUAUUCUCGACAUUCGUCUUAACGGUUGCCGAUGCUGCUCAAAAGAUAUACGGCUCAGCAAUAACAUUUUACGAGGAGCUUCAACUGGAAUUGGAAACUCCAAAUUGCAUAAACAAUCAGGAGAUCAUGGACACCGUUGACGAGAAUAACAAAAAUAGCGAUACUGAAAUCACUAAAGACAAGCCGCAGGUGAAAAUGAAGAUAUUCAAGGGAUCCGGCAUACUUAAGAAGCUUAAUAUAUUGCAAUUGGAAAAGUUGCAGUACACAGACCCCGCGAACCAGUCGCUGAACAUCAGCAAAUCCAUAUGCAUACUGUCUCACUGGCCGUUCUUCGACACGUUCGAGAAGUUCUUGGUUUUCCUGCACGGCAUGGUGAACGGCAAGCCGCAGAGUGUGCCGAUCGAAAAGUACAUAUCGUAUUUCUUGUGCGAUAUACCGUUUCCGAGCCCGCAACGUCCGAGGAUCUUGGUGCAGCUCAGCAGUCAGGACAGACUGAUCUUGACGCAGCCGGAGGAUCUGGCUCUACCCAGAUCGGGCGCAAGUUUUCGGCAGUUGCUGAUAAAUCUGGGACCUGACAACUGUCUGCUGAUACUGUUGUUAAUAUUAACCGAGCAGAAAAUACUGGUUCACUCUUUACGCCCGGACGUACUUACUUCAGUGAGCGAAGCCAUCGCUAUGAUUCUAUUUCCUUUCAAAUGGCAGUGUCCUUAUAUACCUUUGUGUCCGCUGGGAUUAGCAGAGGUAUUGCAUGCACCGUUGCCGUUCUUAAUUGGUGUGGAUUCAAGAUUCUUCGACUUAUACGAUCCUCCUUCUGACGUUAAUUGCGUCAAUUUGGAUACAAAUAAUAUUGCAAUUUGCGACGAUAAGAAAUAUUUAAGUGUGAAGUUGCUUCCUAAAAAGGCAGCUCGGCAGCUCAGAAAUUGGUUGGAGCUUUUAUCGUCGAAAAUUAUUUCGUGGGGAAAGACAAACUGUUCCCAGAAAGAUCGCGGAGACGAAGAUUUCAGCGUGGACAGAGAAUUUCAACAAAAACGAAGGGAGCAAGCUUUGGAACUCGAAAUUCAGGAUGCCUUCUUGAGAUUUAUGGCGACGAUUCUCAAAGGAUAUCGAAGUUAUUUGUUGCCGAUCACAAAAGCACCUACCGUUGGAACAACGGAUCCCACGAGUUUGUUUAAUAUCCAAGCGUUUUUGAGGAGUCGCGAUAAAGCUCACGCUAAAUUUUACACCAUGCUUGUCAGGACACAGAUGUUUAUUAGGUUCAUAGAAGAAAGAAGUUUUGUGUCCGAUAUGGAUAUGGCAGGAUUAGCGUUUUUUGACGAGUGUACAGAACGAGUUGAGGAAGAAAAUGUAACUCUCUUGGAACUGGAUGAAUCUCAGCACAGUGAACGCACAGUAUUUAUACCUCCGCCUGAAGCAGGGACAAAUCAAACACCAAUAAUAUACAAAUCAUUCAAAUUGAAUCCAGAUCUGAUGAGGCCUCAGAAGAACUUCUGCUUGAAGAAUCCAUCUUUAAGUGCCUUCGGUAUGGUACCUGGGAGUCCUAUGGCUCGUAGAACAAAGCACGAAAUCAAAGUUGCUCAAAAAAUGGCUCGAAAACAAGCUGCGAUGCCUGACAGAUGGGGCAGGUGUCUGCUUGGCACAUGCUACAGCCUUUGGUUUCUGCACUUGCCGGCUAUGUUGCAAGUUUCUAGCCAACCUGCUGCAAUUUUGCAUCAAGCUUACGAGUUAUUAGUUAAAAUGCAAAAAUUGCGUCUCGAUCCUAUGGAAGAGGUGUGCUAUCGAGCUAUGAUGCAGCUUUGCGGCGUUUAUGGUCAACCAGUUUUAGCUGUAAAAUUAUUGUUUCAUAUGAAACGUAGUGGUGUUCAACCUAAUGCUUUAACAUACGGAUUUUACAACAAGGCUGUUCUCGAGGCAACAUGGCCUUCUGACAUGACAAAUUCGAGUCAGUUGAUGUGGAACAAACUGCGAAAUGUUAUUGUCGGUGCAGCUUUAUUUAAAAAGGCUGGAAAGAAGAGUGCUAGAAGACGACUGAGCUCUAACGUGGACUUUUUAACCACCGAUAAGACUGAAGGCAUGGAGCAUGCGCUCUCCCGGUCUAGUCUUGAUAGUUCUCAUUCUCAAGACACAGAAGCUGCGCACAGCGAUUCCACGAAAGGCAGCUCUGUGUCGGAUUUACCUGGAUUUGGAUCGUUUGAAUUAAAAGCCAAGCUCCUUCGACAAAACAGUAUUGUGAAAGAUCAAGCAACAUUAAGUAUGUUACAGUCGGACGAGUUGGAUCAGGCACCGAGUAAUCCAAGGCUAACGCGCAGUGUUGAAUCACCAUUAAAAAGUCCCAUACGCACACCAGUUACGGAAAAUGACCCAUUGGGUGCUCUCAUUAAUGACGAAACACCGAUUGUGUCACCUUCCGAGGAGAACGAUUCGAAUUGCUCAACAAGUACUUUAACCGUUUUAAAUAAUACAACUGAAGAGAGACCAGGAGGGCCGCUCUUAUUUAGAAGCAACAUUCUCCCACGUAGUGCAACCUUUCAUCAAGCAGUAGAUGAAAGUGGUGUGACAGUGGGCGGGCAUUUACAGAGGAGUGAGACGAUGCCGCACUCCGUGGCGCAGCAGGGCGAACAGGAGAGAGAAAAGGAGAGACUAGAAAUAAGCAGUCUUUGGUCUCAGAAUAAGGAUAGUGUAACAUCCAGCCUCUCUAGCUUAGGAUCUAGUCUUAAAAUUAGUUUCGGACGAUACUCCACGGGUGGAUUGGCAUUUGCUAAAAAUAAGGAUUUAAUAUCGUCGACUCAACUUAUUGAAUCUCUUAGUCUCUCCAGCUACAUCAGUCCAUCGAGUUUGACAGGGAAGAAGUCGAACGAGAUAAUACUCGGUGGUCUCAACAGCUUGAAGUCUGCUGCGACAACCGUUGUGAAGAAAUUCGACGAAAUAAAGGAAGCCAUCUCGGCGACAAGUACGCCGGUAAAAAUUAAGGAACGCGAACAAAAGCUUGCCUACGGCGUAUCGCACGAAUCUCUGGAUUCCCUCACUGAUGGAUCCUUACAGGAUCGAAAUGAAACUUCGACAAGAGCGUCAGGUGAUGGAAAUUUAGAUUUAUGUUCAUUAUACGAACUCGCAGAAUGCCUGUAUCCAAAGGGCACUAGAGAAUUAGAAGAACGUCUUGCCAUCGAACUUGUGCUUUCCAGUGCGAGUAGGUGUCAUCAUUGCGCCGCUAUUCUGUACGACGAGGAGAUCAUGGCUGGCUGGCAGCCGGAGGAUUCAAAUUUGAACACAGUGUGUCAGUAUUGUGACAAGGCGACCGUACCCCUUCUCACAGUUACAAUAUUAGACUACAGAUGCGAAGCGAGUGAAAAGAAUAAUGACCCUUUGAUGGGAGCACUGGUAGAAUUGUUAGAUCGACCGAAAGAAUCGUUGGAACCUAUAACGGUGCCAUAUUUAAAUCCACUAGUUCUGAGAAAAGAAUUGGAGAGUGUGUUGAGUCAAGAAGGGGAUGCUUGCCUUACCAAGCACAGGUUCAUCCAGGAGCAUCCGAUAGUGUAUUGGAAUCUGAUCUGGUAUUUCGAAAGGAUCAAUUUAACAAGUCAUCUACCCGAUCUCUGGCUGAACAGCGAUAAAAACUUGGAGGUGCAAAGAGCAGUAGGAUCAGUAGGUGUUAGAACCAUGUGGGAUAACGAGUGUCUACACAUGGAUCGUUUGCCUAUGUAUCUUCAAUGGAAAUUAAAUUCUACAGAGGAUAGAACGUUAAUGCAGACAGUGAUCACGUAUGUCCGUUGCAACGAUUUAGCAGAACCUAUAAUAAGAGUGGCCUUAGAAAGAAGUAAACAUCAAACAGGCGAUCAUCCGUUUUCUAUAUACAGAGAUGUCCUGUUUCUAGCAUUUACUGUAUUAGGCAGGACGAAUAUUGACCAAGGCGUUUUUGACAGAGAAUACAGUUUAUCGCUGGAGAAAUUCUCCGAGAACGAGGAAAAGUUAUUGCAUAAAAUUGACGCGCCACCGACAAUGAUGUCGGUGUACUGCAGAUAUUAUUUCAAACAGUUGAAUGUCUGAAGAACGCGAGCGAUCUCAGUCUCGAAACAUUUGAGGGAAGUUGUUUCCGUUUGAAGCGUUUGGAGGAAGUGCGACGUCACGCGAAUGACGAAUGCUUCCGCGUACAAGCAUUUUGGCUCAACUUUCGCAAAUCCAGACGAGACGAAUCGCGUGCGACGGACAAAUGUCGAAGCACGCACCAUCACGUUCCAAGAUAUCCGACGUAACGUCUUUAACGCGGCGUUCUCUCCUGCAUGUUGAAUGCUUAUUAUUAUCUAACAUGGAGGAAUUAUUAAUGUUACGGAUGAUUUGCGCUCGAGUCCAAUUUACCGCGCUAUGUUUUUUUUAAAUAGCGCGAACUGCGACUUUGCGUCGCGGCGUCUCAUCGGACUUGGCGUAUAAGCUGACGUACCUCAUUUUUGUUUCUUCGCGAAACUCCGCUUACUCCGCUGACACCCGUGAUACUUGUCUUUGCUUGCGCAAAAAUGUAGACGGAUCGUCGGAUUCGGGCCCUCAGUUGUGCUAUGAUUCUCAAACUUCGAACACACGCUUGCACGCGAGAGUUGACGGCAGGAAUAGUUAUCGGUGGCCGGUUGGCAUUAACAUUAUUCACUGUUAAUUGCGGUUAACUGAAUUUUCCCAUCUGCAUCGCGAGAACAGACUGUGAUCUAGAAAAGAGCGGAGAAUUAUUGAUCGCAAUUAGCCGGAAUUGUCGGUGCUGCCGAUCACGCAAGAUGAAAUAAAAUCCAGGUUGGUGCAAUAAAAAAAAAUUUAACGUUUAAAUAACGAUUUUUAACUAAUUGUUUAACUAAUUGUACAUCUCUGAUCUUCGUAUGUUUAUAUUGUGAUUUGUAAUAAUUAUUACCUUGUAUUUUUUUUGUUUUUUUGUUACAAAUCGCGUCGGGCAUGUCUGAUUUGUGAUUCGACAAUUCGCGCAGCGCAUUAGCAAGUAUCUAAGAGUACAACGUUGAAAAGUGUUAAGUACCAAAGAAUUCACGGACUGUAAAGCGACUGCAAAUUCAAUUCCCUCCAGGUGUGCUGUGACCUUAAACACGUUUCAGUCCGAUACUAAUAUCCCUAAUGUAAAAAAUAUAAAAAUAAAAGGCUGUCACGUCGGUAUUGAAGUAGACAUUUAAUGCGCCGACUAUUUUUUUUACUGCAAAAAAAGCGAGAGAAAGAGAGAGAAAGAGAGAAAGAGAGAGUGACAUAAGGUAUCGUUUGACAUGACGAAAUGCAGUAUUCUUUCCUUGUACUCUUAGAUAGAAAUGAUCGUUAAUUGCACGACAAACACAAAACAUGUUUCGAGCAUUUGUAAUGACUUAGCAAACUUAGUUAGACGACGCUAUAUCCACGAUUUAUUAAUGUCCACGUUUGGAAUGGAAUGAUGAGGUUAUUCGUUGCGAAAGAACUCACGUACGGCUUCUCGGCGCCGUGCACUUUUCACCUCGGACACCGCGGAUGAAUGUAUAUUCAUUCAUUUUAAUAUUAUGAAUGUAGAUUAUGAAAAUAAAGUCAAGUUGAGGUAUUUUGCAGAA
rnacentral:misc_RNA from 1 species